CAAGAGUACGGCGUGGGAGAAUGGCCUCAUCUGGACCACAAUGAAACCUGGGCAUGGCGGAGAAGCAGCGAGGUAUCAGUGACUCGCUUCGUGACGUAUCUUACCCUGUACCCUCCUACCCCGUCCCAUCUCAGAGCACCGCGCGUCGCCUGAGGUGUAGAAUGUGUCUGUGAACUUGUGGGUGUGUGCCCGGCGGCGGUGGUGGAGUUGCGUGUGUGUUGUGGGUACAGAGAGGUUGGAGGCGGCCUUGUAACUACGAUGAAGGAUUUCUGAGGAUAUCGACUCCCUGGCUAACUCAUCCCUCUCUACCUGUCGCCUCGAAGGAUAAAGAACGUUUUGGCCCCAUCUCCUGUAAGCUGACGUCUUCUAAACAGGAUGGCUGGCUGGCUUUGAGGAGAGAGGGCCAGAGGGAGGCUUAUAUACCUUUACCCAAAUUGAAACCGGAAAGUGAAAUUAAUGAAGGGAGAUGCGCGCGCUCCCUCGGCAGAAAAGGAUGAUGGAAGCUUUUGUCGUCUUUUUAAUCAAAUUAGAAUGUGGAUGAAGAAUAAAGAGCGGGAAGGUUACUCACUUUUAGAAGAGAAGAAGGGGGGGGAGAGAAGAUGGACUGGCAUUUCGUUUUAUUGCAAUGAGAGAAGAUGAAUUUUUUUAACUAUGAAGAGUUGUGUUGCUAUAGGGAAGGAAAGGGAAAGAAAAACUAAGAAAAACUAAUGUGUAUCCAGAACAGAGUGGAAGAUAAGUGAAAUAAAUAACAUGGAAACAAAACAAUAAUAAGUGACGUAAAUUAGAAGAAAAAAGAAUGUGAACUGAAUAGACUUAAGAGGAGAAAAAGAAGUUAAUCCAAAAAAAUAAGUGAACUAAAGAAAAUUGGAAUAAAGAGAAGAAAACGGAAUAAAAUCAAAGAAAACGGAACAAAGACAAAGAAAACGGGCUUUCAGUUACUACUACCUCUACUACUAAUACUUGCAACUCCUCUUUAACUGCUACAAAAUCUGAUGUCACCUUCAAGUACCUCAACAGCUACCACUCUCAACCGAUACAACUACUACAAUCACUACUACUACUACUACUACUACUACUACUACUACUACUACAACCACCACCACCAUCGCCACCACG